rnacentral:rRNA from 1 species
AGUGAACGCUGGCGGUAGGCCUAACACAUGCAAGUCGAACGGCAGCACAGUAAGAGCUUGCUCUUACGGGUGGCGAGUGGCGGACGGGUGAGGAAUAAAGCGGAAUCUACUUUUUCGUGGGGGAUAACGUAGGGAAACUUACGCUAAUACCGCAUACGACCUACGGGUGAAAGCAGGGGAUCUUCGGACCUUGCGCGAUUGAAUGAGCCGAUGUCGGAUGAGCUAGUUGGCGGGGUAAAGGCCCACCAAGGCGACGAUCCGUAGCUGGUCUGAGAGGAUGAUCAGCCACACUGGAACUGAGACACGGUCCAGACUCCUACGGGAGGCAGCAGUGGGGAAUAUUGGACAAUGGGCGCAAGCCUGCUCCAGCCAUACCGCGUGGGUGAAGAAGGCCUUCGGGUUGUAAAGCCCUUUUGUUGGGAAAGAAAAGCAGCAGGUUAAUACCCCGCUGUUCUGACGGUACCAAAAGAAUAAGCACCGGCUAACUUCGUG